rnacentral:lncRNA from 1 species
GAACUCAGGCAGUCUGCUGCAGGAUGAACAAUACCAUACCCAAAGCCUUGCGCAGAGUUGCAGUAAGUCUCCGCUGUGCCAUCUUUCUUCUCUAGGUUUAUGUUACUCAGGACUAUGUUACUACAAGGAACUGUGUCACUACAGGCAAAUUUCAUGGCCUCUGCGCUCUUCGUUGUGCCAGUAACAUUCCGGUACAUGAUCUCACUUAUUUUCACUGCUGAUGUCUGAAAUCAUAAUAAUACUCAAUUAUAAGGAUUUUAAAAAUCCACAUUAAAUUGUAAAAUUUUGGACAUUGCAAUAUGAAAUGAGAAAUUAGAUUAAACUACCUGGUUUUGGCAGGUUUUUGGAGAAUCACAGUAGAAUUGAUCAAUAAUGAUAGGAUUUGCAACAUCAUCCAUCCUUACAUUUUCAAAACGUAUCCCACGAACAUAGCCAUUGCC